rnacentral:rRNA from 1 species
GAUGAACGCUGGCGGCGUGCCUAAUACAUGCAAGUCGAGCGAACAGACGAGGAGCUUGCUCCUCUGACGUUAGCGGCGGACGGGUGAGUAACACGUGGAUAACCUACCUAUAAGACUGGGAUAACUUCGGGAAACCGGAGCUAAUACCGGAUAAUAUAUUGAACCGCAUGGUUCAAUAGUGAAAGACGGUUUUGCUGUCACUUAUAGAUGGAUCCGCGCCGCAUUAGCUAGUUGGUAAGGUAACGGCUUACCAAGGCAACGAUGCGUAGCCGACCUGAGAGGGUGAUCGGCCACACUGGAACUGAGACACGGUCCAGACUCCUACGGGGGGCAGCAGUAGGGAAUCUUCCGCAAUGGGCGAAAGCCUGACGGAGCAACGCGCGUGAGUGAUGAAGGUCUUCGGAUCGUAAAACUCUGUUAUUAGGGAAGAACAAAUGUGUAAGUAACUAUGCACGUCUUGACGGUACCUAAUCAGAAAGCCACGGCUAACUACGUG